UUGCGGUUAAAAAGCUCGUAGUUGGAUUUCUGUUGAGGAUGACCGGUCCGCUCUUUGAGCGCGUAUCUGGUUCAGCCUUGGCAUCCUCUUGGGGAACGCUACUGUGCUUGAUUGCAUGGGGCGGUAUUCAAGACUUUUACUUUGAGGAAAUUAGAGUGUUCACUGCAAGCGUUAGCAAUUGAAUACAUUAGCAUGGAAUAAUAAUAUAGGACCUUGGUACUAUUUUGUUGGUUUCUAGAACUAAGGUAAUGAUUAAUAGGGACAAUUGGGGGCAUUCGUAUUAACGCGUCAGAGGUGGAAUUCUUAGAUUGCGUUACGACGAACUACUGCGAAAGCAUUUGCCAAGGAUGUUUUCAUUGAUCAAGAACGAAAGUAUGGGGAUCGAAGACGCUUAGAUACCGUCGUAGUCUAUACCAUAAACUAUGCCAACUAGAGAUUGGAGGUCGUUCUCUUUAUGACUCCUUCAGCACCUUAUGAGAAAUCGAAGUCUUUGGGUUCCGGGGGGAGUAU
rnacentral:rRNA from 1 species